rnacentral:rRNA from 1 species
CCUACGGGGUGCAGCAGCAGGGAAUCUUGCACAAUGGACGAAAGUCUGAUGCAGCGACGCCGCGUGGGGGAUGAAGGCCCUAGGGUCGUAAACCCCUUUCAGUGGGGACGAAACUGACGGUACCCACAGAAGAAGGUCCGGCCAACUACGUGCCAGCAGCCGCGGUAAGACGUAGGGACCGAGCGUUGUCCGGAAUUAUUGGGCGUAAAGAGCUCGUAGGCGGUUGCGUAA